CACUUCUAAGGAAGGCAGCAGGCGCGCAAAUUACCCAAUCCUGACUCAGGGAGGUAGUGACAAGAAAUAACAAUAAACCGGCUUAUGCCGGUUUAAUUGGAAUGAGUACAAUUUAAACAUCUUAACGAGGAACAAUUGGAGGGCAAGUCUGGUGCCAGCAGCCGCGGUAAUUCCAGCUCCAAUAGCGUAUACUAAAGUUGUUGCAGUUAAAAAGCUCGUAGUUGGAUUUCUGUGGGGACGGAGCGGCCGGCCGCACAUCGCGGUUCGAGCUAGCGCUUUCCCUACAUCCUGCCGCGAACCGUGCUACCAUUAAUUUGGUGGCGCCGGGGAUCGGCUCGAUUACUUUGAGAAAAAUAGAGUGUUCAAAGCAGGCCACAUGCCUUGAAUAAGUUAGCAUGGAAUAAUAACUAAGGACUUCGGUUCUAUUUUGUUGGUGUUCGGGACUGAAGUAAUGAUUGAUAGGGACAGUUGGGGCGGUCUGUAUUCCAAAGAGAGAGGUGAAAUUCUUAGACCUUCGGAAGACAAACAGCUGCGAAAGCGUUCCGCAAGGAUGUUCCCUUUGAUCAAGAACGAAAGUUGGGGGAUCGAAGACGGUCAGAUACCGUCGUAGUCUCAACUAUAAACUAUACCAGCUAGGGAUCGGCCAACGUUAUUUUAUACCGACCUGGUCGGCACCUUAUGAGAAAUCAAAGCAUCUGGGUUCCGGGGGGAGUAUGGUCGCAAGGCUGAAACUUAAAGGAAUUGACGGAAGGGCACCACCAGCCGUGGAGCCUGUGGCUUAAUUUGGCUCAACACGGGAAAACUUACCAGGUCCAGACAUAGUAAGGAUUGACAGAUUGAUAGCUCUUUCUUGAUUCUGUGGGUGGUGGUGCAUGGCCGUUCUUAGUUGGUGGAGUGAUUUGUCUGGUUAAUUCCGUUAACGAACGAGACCCCAGCCUGCUAAAUAGCGCGCAUGAGCUUUGCUCGUGGCGAGCUUCUUAGAGGGACUAUGAUGCGCGAUAGCACAUGGAAGUUUGGGGCAAUAACAGGUCUGUGAUGCCCUUAGAUGUUCUGGGCCGCACACGGGCUACACUGGCGCCUGCAACGAGCAUAUCAGCUGGCCCGAGAGGGUCUUGGCUAAUCUUUUGAACCGGCGCCGUGCUUGGGAUUGACCUUUGCAAUUGUUGGUCAUGCAACGAGGAAUGCCUUGUAAACGCGAGUCAUCAGCUCGCAUUGAAUACGUCCCUGCCCUUUGUACACACCGCCCGUCGCUCCUACCGAUGAAUGUUCCGAUGAAAUUUUCGGAGAGCACCUGUGAACUUGGCCCUGCCUUGCGAACGGGAGGCUCAAAGUCACUUAAAUCUGAACAUUUCGAGG
rnacentral:rRNA from 1 species